rnacentral:rRNA from 1 species
GGACCUGACUGCUAUCGGAUUGAUACUAAGCCAUGCGAGUCAUUGUAGCAAUACAAGGCAUACGGCUCAGUAACGCGUAGUCAACCUAACCUAUGGACAGGAAUAACCUCGGGAAACUGAGAAUAAUGCCCGAUAGAACAUUAUGCCUGGAAUGGUUUAUGUUCCAAAUGAUUUAUCGCCGUAGGAUGGGACUGCGGCCUAUCAGUUUGUUGGUGAGGUAAUGGCCCACCAAGACUAUUACAGGUACGGGCUCUGAGAGGAGUAGCCCGGAGAUGGGUACUGAGACACGGACCCAGGCCCUAUGGGGCGCAGCAGGCGAGAAAACUUUGCAAUGUGCGAAAGCACGACAAGGUUAAUCCGAGUGGUUUCUGCUAAAGAAACCUUUUGUCAGUCCUAGAAACACUGAUGAAUAAGGGGUGGGCAAGUUCUGGUGU